UACGGAGGGGGGUGCAAGCGUUUAUCCGGAUUACUGGGGGUUUUUUAAAGGGGGUGUGUAGGCGGGGGUCUUAUAAGUCAGUGGUGAAAUCUCCGGGGGCUCAACCGGAAACUGCCAUUGAUACUAUAGGUCUUGAAUAUUGUGGGGAGUGGGGGCGAAUGUGUCAUGUAGCGGUGAAAUGCUUAGAGAUGACACAGAACACCGAUUGGCGAA
rnacentral:rRNA from 1 species